rnacentral:rRNA from 1 species
AUUGAACGCUGGCGGCAGGCCUAACACAUGCAAGUCGAGCGGAUGAAGGGAGCUUGCUCCUGGAUUCAGCGGCGGACGGGUGAGUAAUGCCUAGGAAUCUGCCUGGCAGUGGGGGAUAACGUCCGGAAACGGGCGCUAAUACCGCAUACGUCCUGAGGGAGAAAGUGGGGGAUCUUCGGACCUCACGCUAUCAGAUGAGCCUAGGUCGGAUUAGCUAGUUGGUGGGGUAAAGGCCUACCAAGGUGACGAUCCGUAACUGGUCUGAGAGGAUGAUCAGUCACACUGGAACUGAGACACGGUCCAGACUCCUACGGGAGGCAGCAGUGGGGAAUAUUGGACAAUGGGCGAAAGCCUGAUCCAGCCAUGCCGCGUGUGUGAAGAAGGUCUUCGGAUUGUAAAGCACUUUAAGUUGGGAGGAAGGGCAGUAAGUUAAUACCUUGCUGUUUUGACGUUACCAACAGAAUAAGCACCGGCUAACUUCGUG